AUUGAACGCUGGCGGCAGGCCCAACACAUGCAAGUCGAGCGGAGAGAGGUAGCUUGCUACUGAUCUUAGCGGCGGACGGGUGAGUAAUGCUUAGGAAUCUGCCUAUUAGUGGGGGACAACAUUUCGAAAGGAAUGCUAAUACCGCAUACGUCCUACGGGAGAAAGCAGGGGAUCUUCGGACCUUGCGCUAAUAGAUGAGCCUAAGUCGGAUUAGCUAGUUGGUGGGGUAAAGGCCUACCAAGGCGCCGAUCUGUAGCGGGUCUGAGAGGAUGAUCCGCCACACUGGGACUGAGACACGGCCCAGACUCCUACGGGAGGCAGCAGUGGGGAAUAUUGGACAAUGGGCGCGAGCCUGAUCCAGCCAUGCCGCGUGUGUGAAGAAGGCCUUAUGGUUGUAAAGCACUUUAAGCGAGGAGGAGGCUACUUUAGUUAAUACCUAGGGAUAGUGGACGUUACUCGCAGAAUAAGCACCGGCUAACUCUGUGCCAGCCGCCGCCGUAAGAC
rnacentral:rRNA from 1 species